rnacentral:sRNA from 1 species
CGCAGGGCCCUGCGCCGCGUGGCCGCCUGCCAGGCAGACCGGCACUCGCUCAUGGCCAAGUACAUCAUGGACCUGGAGCGGCUGGAUCCAGCCGGGGCCGCCGAGACCUUCCACGUGGGCCUCCCUGGGGCCCUUGGUGGCCAGGACGGGCUGGGGCUGCUCCGCGUGGCUGGUGACAGCGGCAUCUCCUGGACCCAGGGAGAACAGGAGGUCCUCCAGCCCUUCUGCGACUUUCCAGAAAUCGUAGACAUUAGCAUCAAGCAGGCCCCGCGCGUUGGCCCGGCCGGGGAGCACCGCCUGGUCACUCUUACCAGGACAGACAACCAGAUUUUGGAGGCCGAGUUCCCAGGGCUGCCCGAGGCUCUGUCGUUCGUGGCGCUCGUGGACGGCUACUUCCGGCUGACCACGGACUCCCAGCACUUCUUCUGCAAGGAGGUGGCACCGCCGAGGCUGCUGGAGGAAGUGGCCGAGCAGUGCCACGGCCCCAUCACUCUGGACUUUGCCAUCAACAAGCUUAAGACUGGGGGCUCACAUCCUGGCUCCUAUGUUCUCCGCCGCAGCCCCCAGGACUUUGACAGCUUCCUCCUCACUGUCUGUGUCCAGACCCCCCUUGGUCCUGAUUAUAAGGGCUGCCUCAUCCGGCGCAGCCCCACAGGAACCUUCCUUCUGGUUGGCCUCAGCCGACCCCACAGCAGUCUUCGAGAGCUCCUGGCAACGUGCUGGGAUGGGGGGCUGCACGUAGAUGGGGUGGCAGUGACCCUCACCUCCUGCUGUAUCCCCAGACCCAAAGGUGAGCCCCUUCCUCCCCUGAAAUGAGUGGCUGAUCUGGGACCCUGGCUUUCU